rnacentral:sRNA from 1 species
CAGAAUUCAGGAAACUUACGGAGAAGAUCCCUAUCUGACUGGUCAGCUCGCGCAAAGUUUUGUGUUUGGUCUACAAGGCAAUGAUUCCAGAUUUAUACAGGCCAGUGCAGGCUGCAAACACUUUGAUGUUCACGCAGGUCCAGAAAAUAUUCCAGUGUCUAGAUUCUCAUUCAACGCCCAGGUUAGACCUAUGUGUAGUGUUUAUGGAGAGGCAGGGUGGGCUCUGCCCAUGAUCCUUGAUAGUAUAGUCCCCUCUCACAUUUUGAUUGGUCCUAACAAACUAACAGAUACAUACGUAUAAUUACG